rnacentral:lncRNA from 10 species
GCCGGCCUCUAGCCGGCCUGCAUCGCAGCCGGAGCGCAGGCCCUGCCCACGGGCCCCUUAGCUGCCUCUGGGCGGCAUGUCUGCCGAGGUUCUUCUCUCUAGCUGCGCCGCGCCUUCAGGCUCGCUUCCCCAGGCUGUCUGGUGGGCGGAAUCCGCGCGUCGGUGUUCCUGACCCUCGUGGGUUCCAGUGGAACCCUCCGAAACCCAAAAGGCGCCGCCUCUUAAUGCAAACUGUAGUCACCGACUCGUCCAGUCUGUUGGUAUUCGCGUCGUCCUUUGUGCUGGGCAAAGUAACCGAGAAGUAACGGAGAGCGCGCAUUUUCUACACCUAGAGCUCCCCGAGGGAGCCUGGGCCAGCAAGUCUUUCCAUUCUUGAGAUGCCUUUUCUCCUGGAUUGACAAGUGUUUUAUCCAUUGGUGUCUUAACCCGGGCGAACUCUUUCCAAAUUCCCAUGCCAAACGCAGUUAACAAAUCGAUGAUUUCUAAAUAAGUUUGUACCCUGCACCUAAACCAACGCCAUUUAUAUAACUAAAAUAAAUUGCGUAUUUAAAUGCAUGUCCUGGACGCUUUAUUCACUUCACAGGAUUACCCAUAGCCAUUUAAAAAUGUGAAAAUCGGCUAAGUGUGGUGGCUCACGCCUGUAAUCCCAGCGCUUUGGGAGGCUGAGGUGGGAGGAUCACUUGAACC